CCUGUAUAUGGAAUAUAUGUAAAUAUAAUUACAAUUGACGUAUUUUCACCAUUACUGUUGUUCUUUCUUUGUUUCUUUUAACUAUUUUUCUAUAACUAGUAAUGAUUAAUAGUUCUACCACAGAGAAGUAUUGUAAAUCUCCAUAUAAUGUGUAUAUAAAGUGACUAAAUUGCAUUUAUAUUCUAAACUAGGAUUACAAAUUUAUUCUACUACAUAUAUAUUUAAUUACAAUUAUAUUCAAAAGCGCUGUUACACUACUUUCAUGAACGCACUUAUUUAUUAGAUAAUUUAGGAUGCCAUCAUGUCGGAUUAUAUAUGUAUAAGUGUGACUCGCCAUUUCACUGUGGAAUAUUUGGUUGCCGUUGAAUAUUAGCAAUCACAAAGUCUGGAUAUAAUUGUUUAUUGUCAGUGUACAGACAUAGCAAACAGAAAAGCCGCUAAGUGGAAUUCUUUCAAAUUUAU